GAUGAACGCUGGCGGCGUGCCUAAUACAUGCAAGUCGAGCGAACAGACGAGGAGCUUGCUCCUCUGACGUUAGCGGCGGACGGGUGAGUAACACGUGGAUAACCUACCUAUAAGACUGGGAUAACUUCGGGAAACCGGAGCUAAUACCGGAUAAUAUAUUGAACCGCAUGGUUCAAUAGUGAAAGACGGUUUUGCUGUCACUUAUAGAUGGAUCCGCGCCGCAUUAGCUAGUUGGUAAGGUAACGGCUUACCAAGGCAACGAUGCGUAGCCGACCUGAGAGGGUGAUAGGCGACACUGGAAGUGAGACGGGGACAAGAGUCCUACGGGAGGCAGCAGUAGGGAAUGUGCCGCAGUGGGCGAAAGCAUGGCAGAGCGACGCCACGUGAGAGAUGAAGGUCUUCGGAGCGUAAUGCUCUGUUAUGAGGGGAAAACAGAUGUGUAAGUAGAUGUACACGUCGUGACGGUACCUAGUAAGAAAGCAACGGCUAACUACGUG
rnacentral:rRNA from 1 species